UUAUCGAAGGAGACGAGAUAGAGAGAGCAGCAAAAUCAGUAACCUCUGUAGAUUCAUCUUCGAUCUUUUCUCGCACAACAGUAUUCAAAGAUCCCAAUUUACGCCAUCACCAUCGUUCAACCGAAGAAAAUGGUUAGCUAACGAAAUUGCAGGUCUUCAAAAAAUUCCUUUUACUUGCAUCGAGCUCAAGUAAUUAAUUCAGUCCAUUCCAUUAGAAAUCCACAUAAAUCUCUCGUUUUCUUCUCUCAGGAAAUAUCAUGGUAUUACUUGAUUGGGUUCUUGAUGGUGGUAGCGAAGAUUAUUAAAUUCUUAUGUAAUUUAUUAUUAAAAAAACCCUAAAUUUUUAUGUAAUUCAUUCAUUAGAUUGCAGGAAAAGGAAUUUGGUUUCUCUGUACUAAGAGAUUAGACCUAGCUUGAUGAAAUUAAACAAGAAGAAUUGAGGAAGGAGGAGGAGGGGAUUAAAACGAGAUUCGGAAGUUGUUAAUUGAUCCUGCGAUUCAAGUGGAUGAAAGACCACCCAACACUGCUUCUCUUGAGAAGCUGAGGUAUUCAACAACAAAAGCAUAUGCUGCAAUUGACAAUGGUAAUUGGGCAAAGGAAAUUUUGAACAUUUCAGUGGAUGCCAGAAUCAAUGAUGUUGCUCUCGAGAAGCAGAUGUCGUCAGUAAAAAAAAAAAGGGGGGGAAAUGUUGCUCUCAAGAAUAAGGUUGUUUUCUCUCCUGUACGGCUUAAUACUAAUUUAUUAAUGUUCUGUAAGUAGACAAGAUAUCUUUUUAUAACCUGAUGAUAGGAAAUGUUGGCCAUUUCGUAGCGGUCGGUGACACAUUUGAAAGAAUAUAUAUAUAUAUAUAUAUAUGAGAAACGUAACCAAUCCAUUUGUGUAUUGCUAUCGAUUAUAAAAAAAAAAAA